rnacentral:misc_RNA from 1 species
GAUGAAGAACGUAGCGAAAUGCGAUACGUAAUGUGAAUUGCAGAAUUCAGUGAAACAUCGAAUCUUUGAACGCAUAUUGCGCUCUUUGGUAUUCCGAAGAGCAUGCUUGUUUGAGUAUCAGUAAACACCUCAACCUCUUCUUGAUUUUUCAAAAGGAGGGUGGACUUGAGCUAUCCCAACAACCUUUACCGGUCGGCGGGCGGCUUGAAAUGCAGGUGCAGCUGGACUUUUAUCUGAGCUAAAAGCAUAUCUAUUUAGUCCUCGUCAAACAGGAUUAUUACUUUUGCUGCAGCUAACAUAAAGGAUAAUUGUCCUCUUUGCUGACUGAUGCAGGAUUUUACGACACUUUAUGUGUUGUUCAACUCGAUCUCAAAUCAAGUAAGACUACCCGCUGAACUUAAGCAUAUCAAUAAGCGGAGGA